rnacentral:rRNA from 1 species
CGUAGGGGGCUAAGCGUUGUCCGGAUUUACUGGGCGUAAAGCGCGUGUAGGCGGCCACGCAGGUCCGUUGUGAAAACUGGAGGCUUAACCUUCAGACGUCGACGGAAACCGUGUGGCUAGAGUCCGGAAGAGGAGAGUGGAAUUCCUGGUGUAGCGGUGAAAUGCGCAGAUAUCAGGAAGAACACCAAUGGCGAAGGCAGCUCUCUGGGACGGUACUGACGCUGAGACGCGAAAGCGUGGGGAGCGAACAGGAUUAGAUACCCUGGUAGUCCACGCCGUAAACGAUGGGUGCUAGGUGUGGGAGGUGUCGACUCCUUCCGUGCCGUAGCUAACGCAUUAAGCACCCCGCCUGGGGAGUACGGCCGCAAGGCUA